rnacentral:rRNA from 1 species
ACGAACGCUGGCGGCGUGCUUAACCCAUGCAAGUCGAACGGUGAAGCGCCUUCCUUUUUGGUGGGUGUGGAUGAGUGGCGAACGGGUGAGUAACACGUGAGUAACCUGCCCCCUUCUUCUGGAUAACCGCAUGAAAGUGUGGCUAAUACGGGAUAUUCUGGGUCUGUCGCAUGAUGGGUCCGGGAAAGAUAUUGUUUCGGUGGGGGAUGGGCUCGCGGCCUAUCAGCUUGUUGGUGGGGUGAUGGCCUACCAAGGCGGUGACGGGUAGCCGGCCUGAGAGGGUGGACGGUCACACUGGGACUGAGACACGGCCCAGACUCCUACGGGAGGCAGCAGUGGGGAAUAUUGCACAAUGGGCGCAAGCCUGAUGCAGCGACGCCGCGUGAGGGAUGGAGGCCUGCGGGUUGUGAACCUCUUUCGCCAGUGAAGCAGGCCUGCCUCGUUUGUGGGUGGGUUGACGGUAGCUGGAUAAGAAGCGCCGGCUAACUACGUG